GCCCUUCCUACGGGAGGCAGCAGUAGGGAAUCUUCCACAAUGGACGAAAGUCUGAUGGAGCAACGCCGCGUGAGUGAAGAAGGUUUUCGGAUCGUAAAACUCUGUUGUUGGAGAAGAAUGUAUCUGAUAGUAACUGAUCAGGUAGUGACGGUAUCCAACCAGAAAGCCACGGCUAACUACGUGCCAGCAGCCGCGGUAAUAAGGGC
rnacentral:rRNA from 1 species